GCAAGUCGAACGCGAAAGCCCUGCGGGGUGAGUAGAGUGGCGGACGGGUGAGUAACGCGUGUGAAUCUGCCCUGUAUGGGGGAACAACGCGAGGAAACUCGGGCUAAUACCGCAUACGUCCUAUGGGAGAAAGGGGGCUUCGGCUCUCGCUGCAGGAUGAGCCCGAGUCCGAUUAGCUAGUUGGUGGGGUAAUGGCCCACCAAGGCGACGAUCGGUAGCUGGUCUGAGAGGAUGAUC
rnacentral:rRNA from 1 species